rnacentral:rRNA from 1 species
CGGGGUGAGUAACGCGUGGGCAACCUGCCCCGCACUGGGGGACAACAGCCGGAAACGGCUGCUAAUACCGCGUAUGCGCACAGCUUUGCAUGAAGCAGUGUGGAAAACUCCGGUGGUGCGGGAUGGGCCCGCGUCUGAUUAGCUGGUUGGCGGGGCAACGGCCCACCAAGGCGACGAUCAGUAGCCGGCCUGAGAGGGUGGACGGCCACAUUGGGACUGAGACACGGCCCAGACUCCUACGGGAGGCAGCAG